rnacentral:lncRNA from 1 species
GCUGGGCACGAGGCCGCCGGGCCAGCCCCGAGCGGAGCUGUUCUCUUACCUGCCGCCCGCCGGGGUGCCUGCUGUUUCCUCCUUGGCAUAUCGCUCUACUUCGCUCCAGUCCCACUUCUGGCGCCCCAGCCCCGAGCCGCGCGCGGGGGCCCGCUGUCUCUCUCGCCUCUCUGGGUCUCCUCCGCCUCUUGCCCGGUGGCUCCUAGGACGUCACUCGGCCUCUGUCCCCCUGACGAUCCCCCCAGUAACUCCUCCACCACGGGCCAGAGACCCCCCUCUCUGGGUGGCAGACACGGUGGCUUGUGCCGGCUGGUUUGAAGUGGAGGUUGGCUCUGCCUUGUUUGUUUGUUUUGUUUUGUUUUUUUUCCUCUCUCUCUCUCCUCUCUCUUUUUGUUUUUUUGCUUUUGGAAUUUUUUUUUUUUGUUUUUGCGCUUUUUUUUUUUUUUUUUUUUGUGACUGGUGAGACACUUGAUUUCUUUAUUAAACAUCCAAGACCGGGUUCAGAUGGAAGGGACGGGGGGCGCACACGCGCCACACGCACACGCGCGCGUAAAGAUAAGGGGAAAAACCCCAAUCCUGGGAAGGUAGUAGGUUUCUUCUUCUUCUUCUUUUUCUUCUUCUUCUUCCUUCUCCUCUUUCCCUCCUCCUCCUCCUCCACCUCCUCCUCCUCCUCCACCUCCUCCUCCACCUCCUCUCCUCUUCCUCCUCCUCCUCCUCCUCCCCGAUCUCGAUGGCGGACUCGCGCAGGGGGAGAGAUCACUCACGAGUUGGCUGCCUACAGCUGGUGACAGUGUUUUGCUACUGCUGAGGAAUCCAGAACAAGUCUUUGGCCCAGUAAUCCAUUGCUGAACUUCAUUAACCACAGGAAGACAUUAAGUGAAGGUAAGGACCGGAACAGCCUGGGAACCACGUGACAGCAGCCUUUAA